rnacentral:lncRNA from 1 species
GCCAUAUGCCCGCCCCAAUUGCUUCUUUAAGUUUGGGGUCUGCUUGGCUUAAACCAUCUCAUCUAAUGGUAUAAUUUGGUCUUUUUGCACACUUUAGCUCUCAUGUAAAUGUGAGCAUGGGAGGUUGGUUUUGGCAACUUGGAAAUCAGGAUUGGGCUGCUCUCCAAUACAGGGAGCUCACUACAAGACCCUACACAAACUCACACGUUCUUGGGUGGGAGAGGGAGACAAACUGAGUCUUGCAGCCAGGAUGACCACACAGUGCUGGAGAGAGCAGGAAAGGGGGUCAUCUCUAGGAGCGUGCAGGGCAGUGCAGGCAGGGACACCUGCACCAGGGCUGUCCCUGCUCACCACUGCUUCCUGGGAACCUCUGGGUUUUUUAAUUUUUUUUUGUCUUUCCUUUUCCACUAUUGUUAGGCUUAAGAAAGUACCGGGAUGUGCUUUUCCAGGAUCUUGUGACCACCGAGGCCCGCUGGCAUUGCCCGACACUGGCGUGGGCAGAGCAGCUGCAGCAUCAAGAGCUGACCAGAGGGAGCAGGACGAGAGGCAGGAAUGAGUUCGGCGAGUCUGAGGCUGUCGCUGUCCAGAUGGAAAAGACGGUGGCCUAACGCAGGGAAGGGCUGUGUGAUGGAGAGGAGUGACUUGAGCUGACUGAUUCAGCACCUGAGUGGAGAGAAAGGGUAAGGACAGACGUGGCAAGAGGUGUUGCUAACAGAGGUGAUGCAGAAAAGGUAGAAGGCUUUGAGAAGCUUCAUGCGAUGUGGGGAAUGCUGAGCUGAGGGGGCCACUGGAGGAGUAGGGCAGGUGUUGGUACAGAGGUGGGCACAUGGGACCAUGGACAGCCACGGGGUGCAGCCACUGGGCACUGACCUAUGACCCAGACCCCAUGCAGGUCUGCUUUCCUCCCUGUCAUGACAAAUAGUCUUCUAAGUUAGCAGGUGGUCACAGCAAAGGGGCAAGGGGCAAGAUGAGAGGACACUUUAUUACCAACAUCUCUCACAGGUACUCCAUUGCAGCACUUUCUCUGGAGACGGUUAGACAACGGGGAAGUACUAGAGUGAAAUAACACCUGGGUGUGGCACCCACUUCCAUGCUGGGUCUUGUGGCCACUUUGUUUUCACAUUGUCUCCCUUCCCCAUCAAAUCUAACCAGACCAAGAGCAGCGCCUGACCCCAGUGGGACCAAUCUAAUACUCCACAGAAUUUAAACUGAAAGGCGUAUGUAUGAAACAUAGAACUCUGGAGGGAAAGUCAAAGGAUUGCAGAUGAUUCUUGCUGAUGGUUCUUUUCUUUGCUAUCUGUGUGAUAAUGUUAGAAUAACAUCCAUAAAUUCCCACUGAAAAUGGAAAAUGUCCAUUCACAGAACAUAACUUAGGAAAUGAGUUAGAGUUCUACAGUAUUCUUUAAUAGGUCUUGGAAAGUUGUAUAAAUGAGAAAAGUUAUUGGAAGAGAAAUAUAGGUGAUGUCAUCUCAUGAAAAGAAAAAUGUGUAUAUGUGUAUAAGACCUGGAAUGGUCCACAACCAAAUUUUUAAUUGUAGUUACCUCUAAUGGAUUUGGAAUUGCACAAUGAGAAAUGUUUAAGUUUUUUAAUGUCCUUUUCUCUUAACCUAACUUCAUUUGAUUUUUAAAAAUUUUAUUGUUAAUGGUUAUUUGUUAAUUUAUUUGAUAGGCAGAGAGAGAGAAACAGAAAGCUGCCAUCUGUUGGUUUACUCCUCAAAUGCCCACAAUGGCCAAGGCUGGACCAGACUGGGCUGAAGCUGGGAACUAGAACUCGAUCCACACCUCCCAAUCCUUGGUGGUACAGAGUCUACAUUAGCAAAAAAGGUAUUGUCAACAAGGGAGCGAGAAGUUGAAACCAGGUACUCCAACAUGGAAUACAGGAGUCCCAACCAGCGUCCCAACUACUAGGCCCAGUGCCCAGCCCUUGAAUCCUGCUUUUUAAAGCGAGUAAUCAGGCUGGCGCCACAGCUCACUAGGCUAAUCCUCCACCUAGCAGCACAGGCACACCGGGUUCUAGUUCUGGUUGCCCCUCUUCCAGGCCAGCUCUCUGCUGUGGCCCGGGAGUGCAGUGGAGGAUGGCCCAAGUGCUUGGGCCCUGCACCCCAUGGGAGACCAGGAGAAGCACCUGGCUCCUGACUUUGGAUCAGCGCGGUACGCUGGCCACAGUGCGCCAGCCGUGGCAGCCAUUGGAGGGUGAACCAACGGCAAAGGAAGACCUUUCUCUCUGUCUCUCUCUUUCACUAUCCACUCUGCCUGUCAAAUAAAUAAAUAAAUAAAUAAAUAAAGCGAGUAAUC